rnacentral:rRNA from 1 species
UACAGAGGUCUCAAGCGUUGUUCGGAUUCAUUGGGCGUAAAGGGUGCGUAGGUGGCGCCGUAAGUCGGGUGUGAAAAUUUCGGAGCUUAACUCCGAAAACUGCAUUCGAUACUGCGGUGCUUGAGGACUGGAGAGGAGACUGGAAUUUCAUGGUGUAGCAGUGAAAAUGCGUAGAGAUCAUGAGGAAGACCAGUGGCGAAAGGCGGGGUCUCUGGACAGUUUCCUGACACUGAGGCACGAAAGGCCCAGGGGGGAGCAAAACGGGG